rnacentral:lncRNA from 1 species
CCUUAGUCUGAGGCAAACCAGGACAGUCGGUUUGCUUAGACUCCUGCUCCCUCUGCACCCCCAGCUCACCGGAGGAUAAUGAUAAUGGCAGCCACCAUGUGUGGGCUUAUCAAGUGCCAGACACCAUGCAUUAUGGCCUGCAUCGCUUCCCUUCUGUCUUAUAACAGUGUCAUGAUGUUGAUAUGGCCCUGGGGGUGGCCGUCUUGAAGGAGGCCUGAUCUAUAUCCUGCCAGUCAGUGGAUGCGACAGAGCUGCUCACUGCCAAGACAUCUGCUGAAUGUGAAGGCUGGAGCAACAGCAACCCUCUUGGUCCAGCAAGAGGACUGGUCUAGCAACCCUCUAGGUAAUCUUGAGGGUGGAAGGCACACAGUAAGAGGGUGGACCAAGCAAGGAUGGAAGGACCCUGGGUCCCAUGAUUGGAGCUGUCCGGCAGCCACCAGACCAGACUAUCGCCAACCUCUCAAAUUCCUUUAUGUGAGGGAAAAUAACACUAUAUGUGCCCAAAUGAUUAUUUUUGGUUUUCUAUUACAUG